ensembl:lncRNA
CAGUCCUAGAAAAUCAAAAUACCCCCACAGAAUUCCGGACAGGAACUUUCUGGCUAAGCUUUUGAACAUCUAUAUUUUGGGAUUUUUUGUUCUUUAUUUUUUAAUUUUUUAUUUUAUAUUGGAGUAUAGUUGAUUUACAAUAUUUUAUUAAUAUCAAGUAUAGAGCAAAGUAAUUCAAUUAUAUAUAUACAUAUAUCCAGUCUUUUUUAGAUUCUUUUCCCAUAUAGGUUAUUACAGAAUAUUGAGUAGAGUUCCCUGUGCUGUAGAGUAGGUCCUUGUUGACUAUCUGUUUUAUAUAUAGUUAUGUAUAUAUGUUAAUUGCAAAACAUCUAACUUAUCCCUUCCCCCUACCUUUCCCCUUUGGUAACCAUAACUUUGUUCUCUAAGUCCAUAAAUCUAUUUCUGUUUUAUAAGUUCAUUUAUAUCCUUUUUUUAGAUUCCACAAAGAAAUUAUACCACAUGGUAUUUGUGGUAUAACCUCACAUAGUAUGAUAGUCUCUAGGUCCAACUAUGUUGCUGCUAAUGGCAUUAUUUCAUUCUUUUUUGUGGCUGAGUAUAAUAUUCCAUUGUAUAUAUGUCCUCUUUAUCUAUUCCUCUGUCAGUGGACAUUUAGGUUACUUCCAUGUCUUGGCUGUUAUGAAUAGUGCUGCUAUGAACAUUGGAGUACGUAUAUCUUUUCAAAUUAUGAUUUCCUCUGGGUAAAUGCCUAAGCGUUGGAUUGCUGGAUCAUAUGGCAGCUCUGUAUUUAGUUUUUUAAGGACCCUCCAUACUGUUCUCCGUAUAGUGGUUAUACCAGUUUACAUUCCCACUAACAGUGUAGGAGGGUUCCCUUCUCUCCAUGCCCUCUCCAGCAUUUAUUAUUUGUAGACUUUCUUUCUUUGCUUUUUUUUUUUUUAAGGGCCUUAUUUGUGGCCUAUGGAAGUUCCCUGGGCUAGGGGUUGAGUCAAAGCUGUAUCUAUCUGCCAGCCUAUGCCACAGCCACAUCAAUGCAAGAUCUGAGCCACAUCUGCAAACUACACUGCAGCUUGCGGCAACGCCAGAUCCUUAAGCCACUGAGCAAGGCCAGGGAUUGAACCUACAUCCUCACAGAUACUGUCAGAACAAUGUUUUUAUUCCUUCUAGUUUUAUUGAGCUAAUUUACGUAUAGUACUGUGUAAGUUUCAGGUGUACAGCAUGAUUUAUAUACAUCAUGAAGUGACCAUCCCACUAAAUCCAAUAAAUGUCCAUCAUCUCUUAUAGGUACUAAAUCGAAGGAAUAGAAAAAAAGAAUUUUUUUCUUCUGAUGAGAAUUCCCAGGAUAUACUCUCUUAACAUUCAUAUAUAACAUAUAGCAGUGUUAAUUGUAUUUAGCAUGGUGUAUAUUAUAUCCCCAGCACUCAUUUAUUUUAUAACUGGAAUCUUGAACGUUUUGACUGCUCUUAUCCAGUUCCCCUUCCCCUCACCUCCCACCUUCCCCCAUCUUUGGUAACCACAGAUCUGAUCUCUUUUUCCAUGACUUUGUUUUUGAAUAUGUACUUCUUACAAAUUUUAAUGUCACAUUGACCUUUAUCACAGCAGUUGGUCCUCUACACUGUUAAGGAUUAGUUACUGGAUCAUAAGCUUCUCAACUUUGUAUUGCCAGAGGCUAGCACAGCAGGUACUGAGUACAUGACUGUGUCAUGAAUGGAUGAGGAGUGGGUUCUGUGUUCAUGUUACAGAUCAGUGUGUAGCUACUGCUCUUCUUUUACUUUGUCCUGAGGCCAGUUAUUUCCUCACCCAAGAGCUUGCUAGAUUCCCUGUGUAUUUAUAGGCAGUGUGGUACUUUCAUUUUCAAUGUCGCCUUUUCCCUACCAUAAACAUGCAGCUUUUGCUCUGAAUCAUAAUUUUCCCACCACUCCAGGGAUAUCCAUAUCUCUGACUUUGGUGAAAGGUGGAUAUUAAGAGAGAAACGCCUAACUGGAAUUAUCCUACAAACUAAACUAUGUUCUGCCAAAGGUCUGGAGGGGGUGGAAGGUGGAGGAAUCAAGGUAUUCAUGUCAGCUGCCCUGUGAGGCUGAGCAAAGUUUCUGGAGAGGAGGCCACAGACAUCCCAGGGCCAACCCAAGGCUGAGUGGCCACGUCUCAAAAUCUUUAAAAAGGAGGCCACCUACCAGAGAAGUUAGAGAACCUCUGCUCUACAUCUCCUUUCUGAUGGGGGGCUGUGGGGCCGACAGCCACAUUUCUCAGGGGGACAGGAAGAAGAUACCAGCUGCUCUUCUCCCUGAAAUCUGCCCACCUGGGGCCCUGUCACCAACCUCCUUGGAGAUCCACACACUUGGGAACGCAAGGGAGCAGAUGCUAGUUUGCAGGGGUGCCUGUUCUGCAGGAGGAAAAGCUCUCCAAAGGGAGUGGAGUAGGCAAAGCCACCCACAGAUGUCUUGUGUCAGCUCUAUCUCAGGGACACAGAUAACUCAUCAGAAAAUCAUUUGCCUUUAAAUGAGCAGAAGAGAUGUUAAGUGCUCUCUUUCUCCCUGAGAUAACCUAACAAAUGUCAGUUUUCUGCAGUGUCAAAUUCUCCAGCUCAGCCUGGUCACUUUCACAACAGACUUCCGUCCCUUUCCCCAACACAGCCCAUGGGCGGGGAUUGGCUCUAGUGCAGGCAGAUUCCACUGUGGUUCCAGGUUCUGCUGCAAACCCUGGACCCUGGAGUACAGCAACACUCUUCCCUUUGUCCCUCCAGCCUGGGUGGCAGCAGCUUCCAGCAGUUGCUCAUCUUUGGUUGCUUCACCAUCUCCUAUUCAGCUCUUCUAUCACAUAUCAAGUAAUUCCAUACGUAGUUAUUAACACAACACUGUAAAUCAACCAUGCUUCCAGAAAAAUAAAUUUUAGAAAAACGUAAUUCUCUUUAGAAUUUACAGUUUCUGUUUUCCUGAUGGGACCCUGACAGAGAACCACCACUAGUGGCUGAGGCUCUAUACAGGCCAUACUGCAUCAUCAUCUGAGGCUGGUACUGUCAUUACCCUGUUUCCACAUCUGAAAUUACAGCCCAGAUUAAGUCAAUUGUCUCUGUUAAGAGUUAUGUUUAUGAGUUCGCAGAACCCAAGGUGUCAUGUUGUAUAUAGUGCAUCUUCUUAAACACAGAACUCAUAAUCCACAUCCCAUUUAUAGAACUUAAGGGGUGGGUUUUAAGUGUGGCGAUCCGGCUGCUGUGCUCUUUCCUCUGGCUGGAAUAUUUCAAGUCUCAAUAUAAAUCUUACUUUCCUGAGGAAGCCGCCUCUACCACCCACCGUGACUGUGUCUGCAUUGCUGAAGCUGCCUUGCUCUGUCUUCCAUGCUGCAUUGUAUUUGCUUGCGGCUGUUUGUCUUUCCCAUUUUGCUGGAAGUCAUCUAAGGGUAGGGACUGUACCUCUCCUUGCUCGCUACAAAGAUGUGAUGAAUAAGUGAAUGAAUCACUUUUAGACAUGAACGACAAGAUGUCACACUGCCGAUCAAGAACUUCGAGUCUCUGCAUGGCCCAGAUCAUAAAAGUUCAAGCUCCUUGCUCUGCUUUCAAGAGCCUUUAAACCUAGCCUGGACCCCUGUCUGGGUUAGCUCUCAACCAUGACCCCUAGGGCAGCAAGCUCUCCACUCCUCUGAGUCAGGAACUCUGCUUCCUUUCUCCACCUCCUGCCUAGUGGCAUAGCACUAAGAGGCACUAUCAGAAUUACUUACCUCCCUUACCUACAUCCCACUUUUCUUUAAGUCUGCCCUUCCGGCCCACCCCUAAAGUGCCCCAGGUAAUUCUAUUCCUGCCUUAAACCUCAUGUUUUGUAUUUAUUUUCAGCAUCUGAAUACCACUCCCCAUCUAACCACAAGUAUGUGGAGGCAGAGCCUUGCAUGUUAGAAGCUGAGAAAAGUCACAGGCUCACUUUCCCUGCCUCACUUUCCAAAGGGACUACACGAGCCCUUAACUCUGGCUCUACCCAUGAGAAACCCUCACCCCAGACUUUGAAAUGGGAGCUGGUCCUGUCUGGAGAGGAGGAGGAUGCAGAGCUUUCUCUGGUGGUGAUGGUGGUGGUUGCCAGACUGCACUCCUGGGACAGCCAUGGCUGAGAAGCUGUGUCCAGCGUCUGGGGAAGCCAUAUAAACUGGAUUUAGCAUCCUUACAUGACCCAUUGCAGCAUAACUCGGGGAUUGCUCUUAGCUGCUGAGUCCAGAGCCCAGUCUUCCAGUCCUCCAAAUGGUUUGGUGAGCUGCACAAUACCCUCUCGUUAAGUUUUCUUGAAGUAUGGUUGAUAUAUAAUCAACAGCAUAUAUUGAGUCUAUUUUGCCAUGUGUGUAACCUGUGAAACCAUGACCACCAUCAAGAUAGUCAACUUAUAAAUCAACCCCUCAGAGUUCCCUCAUACCCCUUGUAACCACAAAUGCCCAUGGCUGCUUUAGCACUGGGAGACCUCAGAGUUGGAAGAGAUGGAGGCAAGACUUUGGAGCUGGUCUUCAAAAGAGCCACCAGAUAGUUCAAAAUCAUCAAAAUUCUGUGGGAAUUGGGGCCACUCUGCUCCUUUUGGUGCUGGUACCAGUACCAGGAAUGUGGGCUGUUAUUUUCAAGGCCAAAUUGAGCUGAGGAGUAGAGGAUGGGGACAGGACCAGGGAAGUUAGAUUGCUACAAAGCUCACUAUUCUGAGACACAGUCAGAUUUUUCUUGGCUGCUGCAAGGUUUUGGUUACUUUCCAGAGUUUUGAAAGUAAGUUAAUUCUGACAACUUUUGCCAGUUUUUUUUUUUUUUUCCAUUGCUUUCAUGGAAGGAUGGACUUUUGGAGUUCCUUACUCUUGUCAUUUUGCUGAUGUUACUUAGCCCCAAUUUCUCUUUAGAAAACUUUUUCCCCCUUGUGUUUUUUUUUCAGUCAGUUAGGCUUUAUUGCCAGCAGCUGAGAAGCCUGAGUCACUAGCUCAUGACCCUAGUGACUAGGCAGCUUAGGCCCUCAUUGUUCACAAACUCUGCAUGCUCUGAAGGCAUUUCAAAAGAAAGCAUUAAGGAUCCUUCCUCAUCAUUGCAUCGGCUCAGGUUGCUGCUGUAGGGCAGGUUUGAUCCCUGGCCAGGGACCUUUCACAUUCCAUGGGCACAACCAAGAAAAAAAAAAAA